AUGAUCUCAGUUCCAAAAAGUGCUUUUUGUACAGGGAUGUUAUCUUUCAAGAAACUUCUUUUCCUUUCAAAUCUGCUUCUUCUGUCACCUCUGCUCCUCCUGUUUUUCCUUCUUCUUUUCAUUAUGUUCCUCCUCUUGAGCAUUCCCUUUCUGAGCCAAAUUUCUCUAUUCCCAUCUCUUCCUCUCCACCUUCACCUUCUGUUCUAGUUUCUCCUUCUUCAUAUCCAAUUUCCAGUCCUCCUUUCAACCCUGACAUCUCACCUCCUACUUUACCUUCUUCCACAUCAACUGCUGUUCCCAGGAAAUCUGGAAGACAGCACAAUCCUCCUUCUUACCUUAAGGAUUAUGUUUUCCACCUUCCUGCUUUCUCUGGGUCUUCUUCUUCUCCUCUGGAAAUUGAACCUCUUUACUACUCUCAAG
rnacentral:lncRNA from 1 species